GGUUGAUCCUGCCAGUAGUCAUACGCUCAUCUCAAAGAUUAAGCCAUGCAUGUCUAAGUACAAGCACUUGUACUGUGAAACUGCGAAUGGCUCAUUAUAUCAGUUAUAGUUUAUUUGAUAGAUUUCUACUACUUGGAUAACCGUAGUAAUUCUAGAGCUAAUACAUGCUGCAAUGCCCAACUUUUCGGACGGGCAGUAUUUAUUAGAUUGAAACCAAUGCGGGGUUCUCCCCGGUGUUGUGGUGAAUCAUGAUAACUAAGCGAAUCGCAGUGACUUUAAGGUCGGCGAUGAA
rnacentral:rRNA from 1 species